UUCCCUUCCCUUCCCUUCCAUCUUUCCUUUUUUUUUUUUUUUUUUUUUUUGUAGGGCAGCCGGAGCCUUAUUUGCAGUGAUGAAUGCGGUCCAGAAAUACAUGGCUUCAUCUCUCAGCUGAAAGAGAAAGAAAUUUCUUUUGAACUCAUUGAGGCUCUGCUAAUGUACAUCAGGACUCUGAAUGUCCUGGGAGUUGUACUUGCUUUCUUGCCUGGCUGGAACUUGAUGUAUAUAUUCAAUGCAGAAGCAUCUAGAAAUGAAUCCAGACUUUAGUACUAGCAACUGUGUUUAUUGUAUUUAAUCUUCUUUUCCAAAGGAAACAUCUGUCUGUGUGUAAAGACAAGAGUUGCAUAAGUGACUUGGAGAGCCGGAUUGAUUUGGCAUGAAAAUGAAUGGGUAGAAAUAAUUAUGUUAUGCAAAGAAGAAAUGAGAUUUACACAGUAACAGACUUUCUUGUUUUCCUGUUGUAGGAAGCUGCCAGUAUAGAAUUUCACUUCUUCAUUCACAAAUUCCUUUGGAGGAACAGUGUUGAGUGUUUCAUCCCAUGCCUCCUGGAGUAACGCAAACUUCAGACUUAUAUGACACCUGAAAGGUUUUGAACACCAUUUUGUGAAAUAGCCUUGAGCAUCAAAUUGCUGCAGUUGGGAGGAAUUUGUCAGUUUUUGGCCAAAGCAAUGACCCGCCACCUUUGGGUGCAGUGAUGGAAGCAGAAUGCACGCUAAGAGGUGCCACUGUUUGUCCACAAGGUUGUGUGUUAACAAAGGUGAGUCCAAGUGAUUUCCCGUGCAUGGUGGUCAUUUACAAACUGCUUUAACAUCUCUCUUGCUAGAUUGUGUAGUAGCUUUUUGUAGUAGAUUGUGUGGGUGGCAAUGUAUUUUUGCAGCUGAAGAAAUAUUUGAAUUCCCGAGUGGAUUUUCUUUCCUUUAAUAAAUUUGAGCCUUUAAGCUUAAGGCUUGUUUUGUUAUUUUACCAGUGACUUAUGCUAGCUUCCAGCUUCCUGUUUUCCAGCUGUGGCACUGUCGUGUAUGACAUAGAUUCAGUCUAGUGCCUAAGGCAUUAACAGAGCUACUAUAAAACUAAUAAAAAGAAGAGAUUAUUAUAUAUAUAUAUUUGUAUAAUUACUCCUUUCCACAGUUUGCUAACCUAAAUUUUCAGUAUUGUGUCAAGUAAUUAAAUCUCCAGUUUCUGAAUAUGCAACCAUCAAUCAAUAUCCUCCUAAAACAGAACUGAAGUGAGGGUUAAGCAGUCGCCCCAGUUUCUUCAAGGAACUAGCUAGAAUAUGAGUAAAAAGAAGCAAGGUUUAAAGCAGUGAUCUCAGACCUAAGCAUGCUUUGCAAAUAUCACUAAAUAAGCAUUUCUUAAUAUUUCUAAUAACUGAAAUGUCUAUUUGAUGACUUUUAUGGAAAAAAAAGUGUAAAGAGACUACAAUGCUUGUACAUAGAGGGGAGACCAGAAUAAAAAAAAGCAAGGGAUAUGCAUUCAAGUUUAAUGAUCAAAAAAUGAUUAGUGCUUUUUUACUUUGCUGAUAAGAAAUGCAUUUCUUUAGGAUUUUGAGAUCAGUAGGUACUAAAAAAUGGAUUUGGUGGUGGCUAAGGAGUGAGUCCUUUGUUUGCUUGCUUUCCCAUUUCAUUGCUGAGGCAAGAAAUGUAAAUGUUCUAAUUAGGCUGAAGUUUUCCAAAGUAUGUGAUGCCUGAGUCUGUAGAGUAUGUAAAUAAUAAGUCUGCAUUUUUCCUUGGUUUCUUAAGAGUUUUUAAAGAUCAUAUUUGUGCUGGUUUUCUUUGGCAUGCAAACUUGGGAGAGAGAGAGCAAGGGAGUGCAAGAGAACAUGAAAUUAUGAAGCAGAGUUUAAUGCUUAUGGCCAAAUGGCCAGAAAGUUAGGGACACCCGUGAGACCCUUCGAUCUGUAAAGAGCCACAGCCACUUGUUUACUUUAUUGUUGCCAACGGUUUGAUAGCCUAGAGGCUGAGCUCAAGUGAAAAGUUUUAGGUGAUGAAAGGAGAGAAAGGGAGACAAGCGGUAUAUAACAAAGGCUCAUGGAAGUGAGAGUUCAUGAUGUUCUCUUUUUGAUGAACAGAGGGUCCUGUGAUUUGGCAAUUGCAGUAAGACUAGAGUUGGCUGUGAAAUGGCUGCUUUGAUUUUUGUGAGGCAGAAAUCGGGUUAGAUCAGUUAGAUCAAUUGAGAGACUUUAUAAUAUAAUAAAGUUCUGUACAGAAGCAAACUAAAGGGAAUUGGAAAAAUAUGUGAAUUAAAUAGUAAUUAUUUUAAUUAUGGGAGAGAUAGUAAAAAAACCAUAAGGAUAAAGGAAAAAUUGUUUACUUGACCUCAGAACAGUUUUGAAAAUCAGAUUGGCAAUAUUGUAAAUAAUAUUAGACUUAAAUAUUGAUGGGGCUCUAUAUAAGCACAAUUAUUAAAAUUCUGGAUUUCUUUUAUAAACAUUGCUUGGAGUAGAUAACCACCUUUGACAAGAGAUCUUUUUGCAGAGCUUGAUGGAUUCUAGUGAUGAAUUGACACCUCGUGGAAGAAUCCAAGCUAAACUUCCCUUGAACCUCCAUUUGGCAAGAGGUUGAUAAUAGACUGUAUUUUUUAGCAAGUUUAGUAGCCUCUGUGGUCAUUUUCUUGUUCCUCUGGCCUCCUGAGCCUCUAGAAGUGCAGUCUACAAAAGAAAAAAUAAUACAUCCAGGUGAGCAAUAAAUGCUACAGCUGGGGGUAGGAAACUAUGUUCAUGAGAUCAGAGAAUAACUAACUUUUCAUGUAGGUAAUAAAGUAGUCAUGAAAGUCAGAGUGACUAAAAGGCACCAGUAGAGGCUGAAUAUUUGCAAAGCAGGAGUGGGACUGUAAAUAUUAAGUACAGCAGUAAGGUAGUGAUGGGCAGAUGGGAAAUUUGAGACCUAAAUAAGAAGAAAAAUGAAUCCACAUAUUUUAUUUCAACAGAAGUAAAGAACUGCUGUUUAUUACUCUGAUGGCUGUAGGGUCACUUUACCCAGAAGAUGGUGAAAAGACCUAUGGAUGGAUGGGGGGACAGGGAGAGAAGAUAAACAAAGGACUUGUGAACAUCUGCUGUCACAGAAGCCACCUGCUCCCCAAACCUAUCAUCAGUGAAGGCAAAUGUCUGGAUUGUGUCCACAGGAAUUGUGCUGGGAACAGGUUUUCAGAUCGCCUAACUUCGCUCUUGGUCUUCCAAGCCUGGGAUGACGCAAGAAUGGGUGGUGAAGAAGCAGGAAAAAGAUUUUGUGAACACAAAAGACUUAGCAUGGCUAUGCUUAAGAAUGACUUGGAAAGCAAUAGUCCAGCUAAAAGGUACCAAUUCUGUCUUCCUAGAGGGUGAGGUUCUACGUGGACAUAGCAAUUUAUGAUCGUGUUUUUCAUUCUGAGAUGAGAAAUAAAUAAACAAGAUAAUCUAUGAUGAACACACAAGCAUAGAGGCAUGUCCUAAAUAUCUUCUGCCUUUACAGCUGUGUUCAGAUGAAAUUUUAGUGCUGUCUCAUUCUCUUAUAGUUGCCUACCAGACAGAAAAACAGGGAAAUUGUGAUAGCUGAGAUGCGAUAUAGGGCGAUUUUGGAGGCUGGUGUUAGGGCUGCACGAUUAAAAUUAUGUUGACUAAUUCUCCUUAGAGAGUUACCUCUCUGAUUUUUUGUUCUUUACUUGUUGCAUCCAUAAAAUGUGUUCUGUAAGCGCUGUACUUCUCCACUCCUUUUUAUUAGCCUUAGGGAGUCUGUGUGAUCUAAACAUUGUGCUGUGUGUCCUUUGGUUUUCUGGGUUUGUGCAGCAGGAGGGAUGUGCAAUAAUGUGACAUAUUAUUCAAUUUUCUAAAAUUGCCAUUUUAAAACUGUUUCUUAAAGAUGACCAGAUUCUGAAUUUGCCACAUGUCCUUGAGGAGCUUGUUUAGUUUAAUAUGGCAUGGCUGGCAGGAUUCUGCAAAUGAUCCUCUCCCUUUGUUAUUUUUUGUCUCUUUUUUUUAUUUUUAUUCUUAAAUUUUUUUUCUCCUCAUGCUGUUAGAGUCAUUGCUGCAUUUAUCUUUAAUUUUAUUUCUGGGCAAGAUGACCUGAAAACAAGCCACCAGAGACUCUGGGGAAGUUUGUAACAAAUAAACUAAUGAAAACAUCCAUUCUGACCUCCCCCAAAAGAUCUGUCUCCAAAACAAAUGACAGGAAACAUACUGUGGUACAGCACAUUCUGGGCAAACCUCUCUCUCCUUGUUUUUGAAGAGCUUGGGAGAGAAAAAUACCUCUUUGUAGUAGUAUUUUUCAGCUUUUUGCUAUCCAUGAAUUAAUUGGAAACUAAAUGUAGAACUGAAAUGCUUUGAGUGCAGAGGUCAUUUGAGAGCAGAUGCCCAUCUGCCAGUUGAUUGAAUCAGAAAAUGCAUUGAUCCAGGAUCCUAAACAACUGCUGUGCAUGACCCAUGGAUGCUAGCCAGUCUUCUGUUCUCUGUCAACAGAAUGUUUGAUGACUCAACCAUUUAACAGCACUGGACCAGAUAAUAAUCUAGAUGUUGUAAUCUCCUUGCUUGCUUUUAGGGUCUACCUCACUGUCUGCUGCCACAAGGAGAAGAGGAAAAUUCUUAACACUGAGGGGCACAAUGCCCUCCACAAGUCAUCUGUCAGCUGCCGUUUCAGCACCCAGAACAUCAAGUAUCUACCACCUUUUUUUUGUGUGUGUUUGGAGAAAAAGUAGCCUGCAAGCCUGGUUGUGGUGCCUGUGCAGUUACUCCAGGCGCCGUGAUGGCAAUACCCUGAUGUGCGCCGUCUCCUCUUGAAACAGCAGUGUGCAACACUAGGGUUCACUCUGCCUGGGAAAUGCCCUAAAGACAUUUUUGUGAAUAACCCUUGUAUUAGCAAGGUUUCUUGCUGUAAGGAGAGCCUCUUAAGAUCGUAUAGCAGAGAUUUGAGCAUGAGCCAUCUCUGCCAAAGCAAUGACCUUGGUGAGCCUGUUGAACCCCUUCUGUUUGCCUCCAAGAAAAUUCUGAUGGAUGGGGGCCUCAUUCUGCUGGAUGACCGGUAAAGAUCUCCUUGGUGCUAAUAAACUGUCUCUGAAAGACCACAGACUGAGGGGAAGCAACUGCUAGCAUAGAUGAUCAAGCUGAAAAUGCCCCACAGCGUGGCUGCCUGCAUCCCUGUUGUGCAUGCUGCAAUGGAGGCUCUCACUGUGGAGGUGACUAAAGAUCUGGGGAUCAUUUAGCAGCUGGACCCACCAAACAAGCAGAUGUGAUCCGUCAGAUCUCCAGGCCGUCAGCCGCAGGCAUCAGCCUGAUGGCUGCCGAUGCAAGACUGAGAGAUGGUCCUCGCGCUCCAAAGAUGGCUCGCUGUGACAGCGGAGGUUAUCUGCACGGCUCUGCCUAUGGAGGUUCGGUGGCUUCUCUGGCAGGGGCUCAGAAGGAAGAGGAUGCCAAGGUAGCUCCAGCUAUUCCUGGUCUUCAGAAGAAGUCAGCAUUUAAAGGGGAGAUGAAUGCAAGGUCAUGUUCCUAUGUUGCAAGUUGCUGCUGAGAUGGAGCUUCCAAGAAUACGGAGACCUGAGAAUGACACAGAAUGCAGGUUGAGAAGCAGAGCAGUAACAGGAAGCUGCAUUAAAGCAUCCUUAAAAUAAACAAGCACUGAACAAACAAUCCACGCCAGAGGCUUUGCUUGAGGCACUGUUUUUUCAAAGUGACCAAACCCAUGCACAUUGGUUCCAGAAGGAUAAGAAAGUCUUUUAAAGAAGCAUCAGGUGCUGCCUUAGUGUUUGCUAUCACUGACAGUUGUUGGCCUUGGUGAAGCACAUGCAUUGUGUGUCUGGGCAGAGAAGUGGAGGGUAAAAGACCGAGGUGCAAGGAAUGCCUUCAGUUUAUCUGUACUACUGCUGGGAUUUCUGCUCUACCAGUUAGCACAAGCCUCCACGUCACACAAGGGCCAACUUUUACAGGAGGCACUUCAGUCAGCUUUCUCACCUGGAGAUACAGUUCCUUUGUUAAAAUUUUAUCAUCUGUGAAUGGUAAAAUUGCCAAAAAGUGCCAAAUACUUAACAAUUUCCAAAGCCUGGGCAACUCAAAUCCAGCAUUGUCCUGUCCCUUGACAAGGACUGGUCUGCCUCUUGUCUGCUCCGGGACUGCACAUACCUAACAAGCCCACUUGUUUUCUGCCAUUCCUGGUAAUCAUUCUUCAAACCAGCCAUUUACUGGAGAUUUCAAACUCCUCAAGUUUCAGGAAAUGUGAAGAAUUCAGGAAAUGUGAAAAAUGCUGCACAGCUACAGAAACAAUAACGUAGUCGGAAGAGUCAUUAUGGCCCUAUGCAAUGCCACAAUUUGAAAGUGAGUGACAGUUCAGGUUGGGACAACAACAAAAUAAACUACUGGGUCUCGGUCCUUGUUGUGAAGACUGGGAGUCUUUCUGACCAGUUCAAAGCACCAUGAUGCUGUGCUCUUCCAGAUGCGCAGGACAGCAAGAAGCAUCCUUACUGAGAGCAACCACAAGCUACCCCUUACCACCUCACCUGGUGCCACCAGGUCUUCUCAUCACCCCUUCACAUUCUAGCUUCCCUGAAGGAGGAAUUCAACAGAAGCUUGCAGAAUUAUCAUACAUAAUUUGUAGUGGGAUGAACAAUUGCUUCAUUGAGCUAAGUCCUGUUUGUACUCUGGAACCUGAAAAAAUUGGCAGUCCUGACUGCAUGAUGUGAGGAGAAUAACACACUGGGAGAACAUCUGCUGUCCCAACUGUGACUUGGAAGGAAAUUUGACAGCAUCUGAGAUGAAUCUUUGCCAGAAAACAGGAGUGGGAGAGAUUGACAUGAUCACCAUAUAAAGCUGUAGCCUAUCCUCUGUACACUCUCCUGGUGCUUACUCUGGUCACUGUCUGACUGCCAACAGGCAUGCAGGCAGUUCAGGGGAGAACGUAGUGAGCUGGGGAGAACCAAGACUAGAGAUGGGGCACGCCAGAUACAUGGCCAGGAACAGGCAUGGUGCACUGCAUGUGUAUUGAUUGAGAUUGGGAGAGCUACAAGGGGAGAAGAGGAGUGUUGAGGAACAUCUCAUCUCUAAGAAGUACACUAGAUGUUUCAAGGCUGAACUCACCCAUCCAUGUGUGCCCGUUUCCCAGUCGUCAGUGCGCUUUACAAAGGCAGGAGUUCAUUGUGGCAUUGGUCAGGCAAGUGGAGGUCUUGGAAAAGGGAAUGAAAAGAGAGGAUAAGGAUAAAAGAUAAAACUCUCACCUGCUAGAAAACAGAGAUUACUAAUUAAUUUCAUAUACACCACCAAACAGCUAUUAAGCAAAAAUGUUUUUUGGUUAAAGGAUGGGAUGUGUUUGAAUCCACAAUAUGAAGAUGAAAAACUGCACAGUCCUUUCAUCUUUAAUUUUCAUUUUAGUUUAUUUCUUUGCCACAUUACAGUCUUAGAAGAGAAGGUUAGGAUACAUCCCAGACCCACUCCAGAGUAGAUGUGCUUCUGUCUCCAUUUCUCCUAGGUUUGCAGAAACUUGUAAGAAGCAGAUUACUUUUCAUUAACACAUUUAGAGAUUUUAACAAAUUUAGAGAUUUUUUUAUUCACCUACCGAUAGUUGCUGAAUGGGCUUAUUUAGGAUAAUCUGCAAAAGAGUGACUAGAAAGUCAGACUUAAAUAAAACAUUUUAUGAAACACCUUCUGCUUUCACAGCUAUCAGUUUCUAUUCCAGUUUUAUGUAUAAAUGCCGUAAAUCUCUGCUUCCAUAAAACCAUGAUAUAUAUAACUAUUUAGUAACUAGCACAGUUAUCUGGUUUAUUCUUUACUUUUACUGCUGUUGAUAAUGGACAAAGAUUAUACUGAAACCUCAGACAUUUACCAGAAUAAUUCACAUUCUCUGCAGACCUGUUGUUGAUUGCAGGACUUCUCUAAGCAGGAUGGCCUUAAACCAUAUCUUAAUACAGAAUUGCAUUUCUUGUGCAUUUUUAGUAUUAGUUCCAAGUUGCAUUUGUUGCAUUACAUGCGGAAAGAGAUCAUUAGAUUCUUAAAGUAGUUCCCCAUCUGCAGUUCCUGCACUCCUUGUUGGAAUAAGCUGUGAGGUACAUUAACUCUGGCACAACUUUUCUCUUCAGUUUCAGCUGUGCCUGUAGGUUGUUGCCUGAAGAAAUCAAGCUUUUUCAUCGUUGCAGUUGAUGCCAAGACUGAAGCAGCACUGAGCUGGCGGGAAUGGAAUUGAAAUCACACCUUGUACUUUGAUUGUUUCACUUUGGACACUAGAAAGAUGUGAUGGAUCAGUUGAUUAAAAUCUGCAGUAUUUUGUAUGCUUCAGUGUAAUUAUACAGAUUAUCCCAGCUGGAAUUGUCAGUCAAAAUAUUUAAGCCAACUUUUUAAAAUAAAGAUUUCAACUUAUACAGAAAAUCAAGGGUGCCUAAAACUUUGCUUUUAUCUUAAUAAAAUUAAAGUGCUUAGAGCAGUUUUUCUCUAUGUUUGCUGAUACCUUACAGGAGACUACAGUGUGGUUUCUUUUCACAUAUACCUGUAAAGUCACCUGAAUUUUGUCACCCAGCGUUUCUGAAUUUUUUUUUUUUUGUACUGACCCUGUGGCAAAUCUGCUGACUUGCUUUCUUUUAAGUGUUUUUGUUUAUUUGGUGGACGGGGAGUGGAUGUCUGCUGUAAUUACUGUUGUUUGGAUUGUGUCCACUGAGAAAAGUAGACGGGCCUGUGGGAAGCCUCUGCGUUAUGGGAGUCACGGCAGGGCAGAGACAAGUGUGCUUCAUCUCCCACCACUGCACACACUUCCGCUGCUGGCUGUGCCAGCCUGAGAGGCAAAUUGUUCAAAUGCAGCUGCUGGAAACUUCCUCCUACAUCUCCCAAAACAGGCAGAUUGUGAACAGUAACAUAAGGUUGCUUGGGUUCCUUCUCCGGUGGCUGAUAACUCUGUAAGACUGAUGGCAAGCACAGGGCUUUUCUGUCAUUUGUUUUUUAGUGUAAACUGACAAAAGUAUGCAGUGAAAUGUUUAGGUGUUGAGCAGUUUUCAUCUGGGGAUCCUCAAUCUAUUUACUUACAUUUAGUAGUGUGUGCUUGUUGUUUUUCUUUGUGGGGAUAACUUUUAACAACCUGUUUUAAUAAUUGAGACCCAUGGAGCAACCAGGCUCAGCUUUGACAGUCUAAAACUUGUGAACAGUUUUCCUUAGUGUAUGCAUUGAAUUUUUUUGCAUGAACAAGUAACGAUGAUAAAUGAGUAUGGGAAGACCAAAACUUAAAAUGCGUGUUGUCCUGUGAUGCUUACUAGAAACAUUCUGGACUUUAUAACCCCAAAUGGGUCAAAGGUAUCUACUUAAUUUAAUUCUGCAAGACAAGCAUGCCUCAUCUGUUCCUUGCAGAAAAGUAAAAAGGCUCUUUAUAUAGGUGUGUUAGUGUUUUGCUUGAGCUGCUGUGGAAGGAUAGAGAUUAACUGUGCUUCUAAUUUAUUUCAAACUGCUUGUGGGUAUACAACACCUUGUUGCAAUUUUGUUGUUGUUGAUCAAAUGGAAAGAAAAUAGCCAUUUUCUUCUUCUAUUUCCUGCAAGUGGUGUUAUUAUACAAAAGGCCGUUUCCUCUCAGGUUCUUAUGGUGCUUUUGCUUUUUCACAUUUCUUCUCUUUGUUCUUACUCUCUCCCCUCUUGCUCUCAUUCAUUUAAUGUGAUCUGAGUACCUCAAAGAAGAAUUAAAGUAAUAAAGUGCCAAUUUUUACAGUUAUCUUUAUAUAUUUUUUCCUGACCACCUCUUGGCUAAAUAUAGAGCAUGUUUUUCUGAGCCUUGAUAUCAUUGCAGUUAG